AGUCACUGACAUUAGAUACCCCUGUAGUCCAGGGUGUAAACGCUGCAGACUUGGUGUUGGAAGUCCUUUGGGGGCAUUCAGUGCCGGAGAGAAGUUGUUAAGUCUGCUACUUGGGGAGUACGUCCGCAAGGAUGAAACUUAAAGGAAUUGGCGGGGGAGCACCGCAACGGGAGGAGCGUGCGGUUUAAUUGGAUUCAACGCCGAAAAACUCACCAGCAGCGACUGUUGCAUGAAAGUCAGGUUGAUGACCUUACUAGAUUUUCAG
rnacentral:rRNA from 1 species